UGAAUGUAUAAUUUUCAAGCCUGUUUUUACACUGCAGUAACUACAAACUUUUCCUCGAAUGCUACGAGAGAUACAAAAAGGAAGACACUGAGUGUUUGGAUCGUUUCGACUUCUUACAUUUUCAUAAGUGUCAGAUAAAGCAAAAUUCCGGCAACACAGUUCGAGUAAGCAAUACGAUUCUAGUGCCGCUGACUCUUCAAUAUCUGUCUACAACAAUAUCAGUUUGAAGGAUAUGUUUCUUUAAUUCUCCCUAAUGCCGUUGGAACAUCUCUGUAGUAAACGCAGUUGUGUUUUUGUCAUCAAUGAAUAAGUGUUGUGAACAUUUCCAGUAACUGUAACAUGACCAGAAGACUGCAAAGGCACCCCGACAGAAGAAUAUUUUGUUCAGUGAAGAGCCAAACAAUCUUCGUUACUGCGUUUUCAAUUCAGUUAUUCAUCUAUAUGUAUAAAUAAAUAUUAUAAUGAUACAUGUA